rnacentral:misc_RNA from 1 species
UCAAACUUGGUCAUUUAGAGGAAGUAAAAGUCGUAACAAGGUUUCCGUAGGUGAACCUGCGGAAGGAUCAUUAUUGAAUGUUGCCUUGAUAGGUUGUCGCUGGUCCUGUAAAAAAGGGGACAUGUGCACACUUGUCUUGACUUCAAUUCAUCCACCUGUGCACCUUUUGUAGUCUUUUGUUUUGGGAGGGAGGUUGAACCUUCUUUCCACUCGGAAGGCUAUGUUUACACAUAUAUACCAGUUCAUUAGAAUGUUGUCAAUGGGACACUUUUGUGGCCUAUAUAUAAAAUCUAUACAACUUUCAGCAACGGAUCUCUUGGCUCUCGCAUCGAUGAAGAACGCAGC